CAGUGAUAGGGUGACCUUGGAAGUAUUGCUUCAGCUUCUGGCUUGCCAUGAACACCCCGUAAACAAGUUUCUACCAAUGAGGAUAUCUUUGUUUUGACUCGAUGAGUACCUCACUGACAUAAUAAACCGGCCGUUGAACCGGAUGUUCCUUACCAGCCUCCUUGCGCUCUACCACAAUUGCCACACUGACGGCUCGUGAAUUAGCAGCCACAUAUAAUAGCAAAGGCUCUUUGUCAACGGCAGCCGCAAGAACUAGCGGCUCAGAUAACUGCCUCUUCAAAUCCUCAAAAGCAGCAUUAGCAGCAUCACUCCAGACAAAGGUGUCUGCCUUUUUCAUCAAUUGGUACAGCGGUAGGGCCUUCUCACCUAACCGGCUUAUGAACCGACUUAAAGCGGCAACACGACCCGCCAAUCGUUGAACAUCAUUAAUACAUGCCGGUUUAGCCAAAGAAGUGAUUGCCUUAAUCUUCUUCGGAUUAGCCUCGAUGCCCCUGUUUGAGACCAAGAAUCCCAAAAGCUUGCCUGCAGGCACACCAAAUACACACUUCUCCGGGUUAAGCAUCAUUUUGUAAACCCGGAGAUUGUCAAAGGUUUCUCUGAGAUCAGAUAUCAAGGUUUCCGCCUCUCUAGAUUUUACUACUAUGUCAUCCACAUAAGCAUGAACAUUGUGCCCAAUCUGAUUGUGAAGACAAUUCUGUACGCACCGUUGAUAAGUUGCCUGGGCACUCUUGAGCCCAAACGGCAUAGACACAUAGCAGAAGGCUCCAAACGGGGUGAUGAAAGUCGUCUUCUCCUGGUUCUUAACUGCCAUCUUGAUCUGAUGAUAGCCAGAAUAAGCAUCCAAAAAGCUCAAACGUGCACAACCUGCCGUAGCAUCAAUGAUUUGAUCAAUACGGGGGAGAGCAAAAGGAUCAGCCGGACAAGCCUUAUUUAGGUCCGUGUAAUCCACACACAUCCGCCAGGUGCCAUUUUUCUUGAGUACGAGCACCGGGUUAGCCAACCACUCCGAGUGAAAAACUUCAACAAUAAACCCAGCCGCCAAGAGCCGGGCGACCUCUUCUCCUAUAGCUUUUCGUCGCUCUUCAUUGAAUCGCCGCAGAAACUGCCUGACUGGCUUAUACUUCAGAUCAAUAUUAAGAAUGUGCUCAGCGAGUUCUCUCGGUACACCCGGCAUGUCAGAAGGUUUCCAUGCAAAGAUGUCCCGGUUCUCACGAAUGAACUCGAUGAGCGCGCUUUCCUAUUUAGGAUCCAAGUUGGCACUGAUGCUGAAUUGCUUAGAUGAAUCGCCCGGAGUGAAAUCAACAAGCUUAGUCUCUGCAGCCGAUUUAAACUUCAUGGCCGGGUCAUGCUCCGUAGUUGGCUUCUUGAGAGAAGUCAUAUCUGCCGGGUCAACGUUAUCUUGAUAAAUUUUGAGCUCCUCUGCUGCACAGACAGACUCGGCGUAAGCGCAUCGCCUUCUUCACACUCCAGGGCCACCUUUCGUCUUCCAUGCACAGUGAUGGUACCCUUGUAACCCGACAUCUUGAGCUAUAGAUAAACAUAACACGGCCAUGCCAUGAAUUUGGCAUAGGCCGGCCGCCCGAACAAAGCGUGAUAUGGACUCUUGAUUUUGACCACCUCAAAAGUUAACUUUUCCGCCCUAGAAUCAUGCUCGUCUCUGAAGGCCACCUCUAGCUCAAUCUUCCCCACAGGAUACGCCGACUUACCGGGCACCACUCCAUGGAAGACGGUGUUGGAAGUCUUUAAAUUCUUGUUAGUUAAGCCCAUGCGCCAAAAGGUCUCGUAAUAGAGGAUGUUGAUGCUGCUACCUCCAUCCAUGAGCACCUUAGUAAAUUUAUAACCACCAACUUGCGGUGCCACCACUAGGGCCAGUUGACCCGGAUUAUCAACCCGGGGAGGGUGAUCCUCCCUGCUCCAGACAAUAGGCUAUUCCGACCACCUCAAGUAACGAGGGACUGCCGGUUCAACAGAAUUCACAGCCCUCUUAUGAACUUUCUGAUCACGUUUACACAAACUUGUGGUGAACACGUGAUACUGCCCACUGUUUAACUGUUUUGGAUGGCUCUGAUAACCCGACUGCUGCUGCUGCUGCUGCUGACCUCCUUGACCAGACUGCUGUUGAUUAUAACCACCCUGGUUUCCCUGAAAACCGGAUCCUGAACCACCGCCCGGGCCAUGAAAGCCGCCGGCUCCUGAGCCGCCGCCCGGGCCUUGAUUGCCAUCAAACGUAUUAGAGUUCUUGAAAGCUUUCAUGAUUGCGCAAUCCUUCCAUAAAUGAGUCGCUGGUCGCUCCCGGGUAUCGUGUUUCAGGUAGGGUUCAUUGAGUAGUUGCUCGAGAGACGGACCUGACCCACCAAACUGGGGUGGUUUUCCUUUGCGCUUCUGAUUGUUACCCUGUGCAUUGGCCACAAAUUCCGGGUUACCAUCCGCCUUACGCUUAUUGCCUCCUUGACUCGCCGGGUUAUGCUGCUGACCCUUUCCAUUAUCGUUCUUCUUUCCCUUCCCUGUCUUUUCCUCAUCAGACGCGGGAUCCUUGGUACUACCAGAAUCGGCAUACUUGACUAAAGCCGCCAUCAGCGUCCCCAUAUCGUUGCAAUCAUGCUUAAGGCGCCCCAGCUUCUGUCUCAAAGGCUCAAAGCGGCAAUUCUUCUCCAGCAUGAGAACUGCUGAGCCGGCAUCCAUCUUGUCAGACGAAUGUAUUAUAUCCUUGACCCGGCGCACCCAAUGAGUCGUAGAUUCACUUUCUUCCUGCUUACAAUUUGUCAGAUCCACAAUUGACAUAGACUGCUUGCAAGUAUCUUUGAAGUUCUGGAUGAAACGGGCCUUUAGCUCCGCCCAUGAACUAAUGGAGUUGGGUGGCAAACCCUUUAAUCAAGAACGGACCAUUCUGUCCAGCAUCAUGGUGAAAUAUUUAGCCAUCGCUUCAUCACUAACCUCCAGCAGCUCCAUAGCCAUCUCGUAACUUUCAAUCCACGCCCCAGGCUGUAAAUCGGCCGUAUAAUUCGGCACCUUCCGAGGUCCCUUGAAAUCAUUGGGCAGACGUACAUUACGUAGAGCCGAUACCAGACAAGGAACUCCUCCGGUUCUAGUAGCAACUCCCGCUUCAACGGCAGUCGUCGGGUAAGCCGGUGAAUUCUGUAGGGCCGCUAGCUGAGCCGCCCGCUCGUCCUCCUAACGUAUCCGAUCCCGAACCGGGUUAUGCCCGCCGGGCUGGUUCCGGCGCUGAGCGUUACUUGACAAGGCCUCUGACUCCAUGUGUCUACUGUAACUCGGGCUCCGAUUUUGACGAGGCGGAGCUAACCAGGGCGGAGGAGUCGAGUGAAUCCUAUCCCGACUGUAGGAGUAGGUUUCUUGCUGAGCCAGGGCUGUUUGGACAAGUUCUCUGAUCUUCCGGGUUUCCACCGCUGUCGGAUCAUCCCCAUCUACUGGGAGAGCCGCCAAAUGUGCUGAUGCUGCGAUUAAGUUCUCCAUGGGGUUGGAGAAGUGACCCUGUGGUAUUGGUAUAUAAUUGGGCGGUGCCAUAUUGCCGUGAGGAGGUGCCAUCCCCUGAGGCUGGACUGGACCUCCCGCUCCGGAUGUAAUAAGCUGAUUCGCACCUGGCGGGUUACUUGGACCGGCCCUGGGUGUAGCAAAGAGAUUCCGAGGAUCAUAAUUCUGAGGUAAACGGGACUGAGUUUUCUGAUGUCUCCUCCUCAUUACCUCAUUAGAUGCGUUUAAGCUCAACAUGAGCUACAAGGCCUCUGCCUGAAGUUGCUGCGCUCGUACGUCCAAAGCCGCCCGCUCUGCUGCUAAUCUAGCGUCCUCGGCUGCUAAGGUUUCCUUGACCCGGGCGAUCUCGUCGCGAACCUGUGCCACCUCUGCCUCAUGCUCAGAUUGGUUCGCAGGGAUGACUGUAACAGUUAACAAAGUCGUAAACUUAUCCAUGAGAUCCAUCAGCAUCUGAGCCGGUGAGCGCACGGGCCUCCUGGCCCGGCUGCUCCUAACCCGGACGUUAUCGCAGCUGAGGCCGUAGAGUUUUGGCCGGGUUGAGUACCAGCCAUGAAGACUCUUGCCCAGUUUGGCGACUCUGAGAGGUCCGGAAUAGUGCUGCCAUCGGAACAACCCCCAAGCACACCAUCUUGAACUUGAUACAGCGAAUCUGUUGAGCCGGCGGAUGAAUCACCGUUAGAGAGGACGGCUGGCUCACCAUCACCUUCAGAUCCUUCAGGAAGUUCACCUCCAUGGAUGCAACCCACAAAGGCACGCUUCACGACGGGUUGAGCUCGGGCGGGUUUCGCACGAUGAGCCGUCUCGACGAGGUCGGUGCAGCUGUCCGGCUCAGGGCCUGGCUCACCAAUCCGACCGAUGAAGACGUGAAUUCCGCCAAAGGGGACCCGGUAGCCAUACUCAAUUGAGCCGGCGUCGGGGCCCCAGCCUACGUCGUCGAUGUAGAUCUUGCCGCGACGACUCUUGGUCAUCCGGCCAACUGCGUAUCCCUUGAGCCCUUCGAAGCUGCCCUUCAAGAACUCAAAUCCACCGUGCGCUGGCCCCACGGUGGGUGCCAACUGUCGUGGAAUUGUCACGACAGAUGUCCUCUUGCAAGGACUUGAUCGUGGAGCUAUCGCAACUAGGAAGCUUAAAGGGGUUAAUCGGGACAAAGGACACGCGAGGUUUAUACUAGUUCAGCCCCUUACGGUGAAGGAAGGCCUACGUCUAGUUGGGUUGGAAUUGCUUGAGGUUUCGAUGACCGGGGAGCGAGAUAUGCUAUGCCCGGUUCUCGAUCUCUUGUUUCUUCUGUCCCUAAGCCGCCAGCAGGUCAUCCCCUUAUAUACACGGAUUGACGCCCUACGGCUUACAGAGUCCCGGCCGGCUCAUAAACAGUGUCCGGCUCGGUGACUAGUUAUUUCUAUCUUACAAUACAAGUCGCGCCCUCAUGGCGGUUUAUCACCAUGGGCCAUAAAGCGUCUGUGGGCCACUAGACCCUUUACUGAACCGCCAUCUUCACUCUUGGUCUUGGGCUUCAGAUGGGCUUCUCUUUACGUAACUCGCCCCCCCUGGGCGGUUUAGGUAAAUAGUUAUAUCUCCAACAGUAGCUAGCUUCAUCCAUAAUGCCGCAGAGGGGGCAUGUCCCGCGCGACGUGAGAUGCCUAUACUGCAUGCACGCCGUAGUAGCCAACGCACCAGUCGCCGCUCGCCAAGCCGUAUGUUCCAUGCGUAAAGGAACACAAGAGUUCCAGAUAAGUUGGCUACCUAAUGGGUAGAUCAAAUAGAACAUGAUUUUUUCAUAAUUUUACAUUCAUCGACAACACAUUUGACAGAAAAAACAUUCAUCUCAACUCAAUAAAAUAUAGAUGAGUACAUGACAAUUAUCUUAAUUCAAAUAGACAAUUCAUAACAACUUUAACAUAGGUUCAUGAGUUCACGACAUACUUUACGGGUAAGGUCCAUAUGUUAGUAUAAACGGGCAGGCUAUACCCAUUACUUAACGGGUAGGGUACGGGUACUAUCCAUGGGUAUAAAAUUGUGUCCAUACCCUACCCAUGCGGAUACGGUAUCCGCGGAUGCCCGUACCCAUGGGUAAAGUUGCCAGGUAAUAUCUAUCUAAUUAUCCAUAAAUAUUACCAUGACAAAAAAAUUGUCCACGUCUGCCAGUACUGCCUUUUGCAGAUAAAUCAACCAUGCCCCUGUCGCAUCGUUGGUUUGCCGCUCCGGCCUCAUCGCGCAAUAUCAUCGCAUGACCUCACUGCGCACGCCUCACAACAUGAUCUCAUCGCGCGGGCCUCGCCGCUCCGGCCUCGUCACCCGACGGACUCAGGCAACACCGCACGAGCUUCAACACGUGAACAACAAUCCACGAAACCUCACCGCAACUGGCUCGAGGGCUACGCCUCACCUCUUACGGACACAUGCAAUAUUUAUUUAUUUAUUUUUCUCAUCCAUGUCAAAAAUUCAUGAGAAUUAAUUUCUGCCAGUAUACUCUAUGUAUGUAGAUUACAAUCAGGACAUGGCAGUCUAUGAGAGGUGAGGGUACCUACCACCGGAUGGUAGGAUUUACUACCAGUAUUUACAAGAUGUUUGAACUGCCAAAACGUGUUAUAUUUAGAAACAGAGGAUGCGAUUUUUAUAUAUACAUAAAUGAGAUCAUUAUAAUCACAUAUAAUUUUUAAUAAUAAUUAUUAGAUACCUCAAAGUGAGUUGCGUCAAAAUUCUAUUUGAAUAUGUAUUUAUAUUUUUUGAGGGGAUACUGAACUAUUUUUACUAAUGAUACCCCGCACGUUGUUGCGGGAAUAUUUUGUAACAUAUCUCAAUGUGAUUCAUUGUAUGAAACAUAUAUAAAAGGAUAAAAUUGAAACUACAUAUACUUUAUUAUGUUUGAUCACUAUAUAGUUGUAAAAUGUUUAUUAAAUAUAAAUAGAAUAAUAGAAUAGAAAUUCACAUGUUGAGAUAGGUCUUUUUUUAUGCAGGUUUCAUGAUGAAGUGGCAUACUUGCAUGUUGCGAGACAUAUGAUAGUGAGUGUGGGGUUUUUCUCGUGUAUGUUGUGUGAUGAUGUGGCAUGCUUGCAUGUUGAGAGAAAUAGUUAGUGGGGCUACCUAUUUAGAUAUACUCAAAAAUAGUUAGUAGAAGAUAACGCAAAAAUAACUACGCUGCCUGACUGGGCCUGGCCUAUUUAGGGGCGUGCCCACACACACACGCACAUUGGACACUAACGGGCCCAACGAACGACAGAUACUCGAUACCCCCAGCCCGCUAGGGUUUUGCUGGCAGGUAUAAAAUACCCCUUCUUCUCCUCUCCCAUUCCUCCCUCCUAUCAACUCGACCACAGAGCGGCGGCGGCGGCGGCGGCAGCGGAAGAAAGAGGAGAGAGCUCCAGCCAUGGUGCACGUCAACUUCUACCGCAACUGUAAGACCGCGCCACGAUCCUCCUGUCUCCCCUACCCUCUUGUGCUCUCUGCUCAAUUGUAUUCAGUCAUUUGUGUCUUCGUGCUCGCCGUGAUCUGAUGGGGUGUUGCUCGCAUAGGCUUAGUUGCAGCAAGUUGCUAUCGGUUAGCCUUCUGCUUCCUGCUACAGCAGCUGCUUGCCGCAACGCAGAGCUCAGAGAUCUCUUAGCUGUGGCGUCUUACUUCGGGCAUAGCUGGUGAGAGGUCAGAGAUUCGUUCCCGUGAUGUCUUGCGUGCCGAGUUGCUGUGAGGCGAGGGGGAAGGUUGAUUAGCGAGUGCAUGAUUUGCGUCGGCGUGAUGCCGUUGUGGGAUGAGAGGUUUGUUUGCAUAAGAUUUUGGCCUAUCUUUUGUUCGGAAUACCUGGAUUUGAGUCGUGCCUGGCACGAGGACUGCGCCCUAGAUCUAAUUAAAGGUGUCUUACUUGAGCACUAGACAUUUGUUUACUCUCAGCUCUGUCAGCACGCUCAGUUGGUAGUCUCGUCAGAUUUAAACAAGUUCCUUGUUUCAGGGAUAUUGAUAUGCAGCCCAUAGCCAUCAGGUUUACUGAUAAAUUUAGAAUCAGGCCAGCCGAAGUGAAGUCUAAUUACCUAUAUAUCUGUUUCACGGUGGAAACUAUUCACCUCCUACUGUUACUGGUUCUUCAUGUGGGAGCUUUGAAUUUGGUAUAUAUACUAUGCCACUAGAAUAGUCACAGAAAUGAUGUUGGUGCUUCAUAAUGGAGCCACCUGAUUUUGUUGUAUGCCAUAGCCUAGAUGUUGCAUAUUCUUUUUUGUGUGAACAUGUAAUUCAUACUACAUACAAGAGUUAUAUGCAUGUAUUCAACAUCUUUGUUCAACAUAUAAACAGGUAUUAGCAAGAUAUACAACCUACCAAUACCAUUAUGUUGCCACAAAUACAAUAUUGACGUGGCAAUCAGACCAUAAACAUGUGCAAUGAUACAAGAUAGGCAGUGCGGUGAAUGUAAGUACAGUAGAUUUCAUAAAGAACAUGCCACAAUAAAUAGAGUACAUCCUGAAACAUGAUAAAAUUCAUACUACAUACAAGAGUUAUAUGCAUGUAUUUGUUCAUAUGCUUUUAUUUCCUAUGUGCUUUUAAUUAAAUCAGAUCAAUUCUUCUGAUUUCAUUCCGACCAGAAACUUGUGAAUGUGUUAUUAUAAUUGCCUGCUUUUAAUGCACUUGGACAUAGUGGCAUAUGUGGUUCCACUUUGUACCUGGCACUUGCUCUAUGCUACAAUUUGCCCAUGUUAUGUUUUUACUGCAACUCAUGCCUUGUUUUCAUAAAUUUAUUUUCUUACUAUGUAUUUGCAAGUUAAAUGUUUUCUCUUGCAGAUGGUAAGACAUUCAAGAAACCAAGGCGUCCUUAUGAGAAGGAGCGUCUUGAUGCAGAACUAAAGCUGGUCGGUGAAUAUGGACUGAGGUGCAAGCGUGAGCUCUGGAGGGUUCAGUAUGCACUGAGCAGGAUUCGUAAUGCUGCAAGACACUUGCUCACACUGGAUGAGAAAAAUCCCCGCCGUAUCUUUGAGGGCGCGGCCCUUCUCCGUCGCAUGAACCGCUAUGGUCUCCUUGCUGAGGGCCAGGAUAAGCUUGAUUACGUCCUUGCCCUGACUGCUGAGAACUUCCUUGCAAGGCGCCUUCAGACUCUUGUCUUCAAGGCUGGCAUGGCAAAAUCCAUCCACCAUGCCCGUGUCUUGAUCAGGCAACGCCACAUCAGGUAUGCUUCUGGUAUAUUUUUCUUGCAAUGCAUGUUUUGGCAUAUGGUUCCAUAAAUUUGCAUGUUGAUCUAGAAAUCUAAAUGGUUUGCACUAGUUGUUUAAUACAGGCUACCUGAUACUGGUCUGUUACUGGUUAUUACAUGCAUCUAUGAAUUACAUGUUGGCCUGAUACUGGUUACAUGCAUGUCUGAAUUUUAUCAUCUUUCAGGAUGUACUCUAUUUAUUGUGGCAUGUUCUUUAUGAAAUCUACUGUACUUACAUUCACCGCACUGCCUAUCUUGUAUCAUUGCACAUGUUUAUGGUCUGAUUGCCACGUCAAUAUUGUAUUUGUGGCAACAUAAUGGUAUUGGUAGGUUGUAUAUCUUGCUAAGAUGUUGAACCUGUUUUCUGUAACUGAGAUUAUGUCAAUAUUGUUAGUCUUUGCUUCUUGUGUUAUACUGGUUGUGGUCUGGUAUAUAUGUGGCAUUUGCUUUGAGUUUUCAUUGUGAAGUGAUAUUUUCCAUGAAUAUUCCUGCUUGUUCACUUUGUGAAUGAAGUGUUAAAAUAAUUUUCUUGAAACCAUAUUGCAGGGUUGGCAGGCAGAUCGUCAAUGUCCCCUCGUUCAUGGUGAGGGUUGAAUCUGAGAAGCACAUCGACUUCUCACUGACAAGUCCAUUCGGUGGAGGCCCUGCAGGCAGGGUGAAGAGAAAGAACCAGAAGAAGGCAAGUGGUGGCGGUGACGCCGGUGGUGACGAGGAAGAGGAAUGAGGAACUAGUAGCUAUCACCUUAUAUUUAUCAAAUGUUGGUGUUAUGAGUACUUUAGCUGAGAGGCCUGAGACUUUCAUGGGUUAUCCUCUUGUCAUUUUGUCACUUUAUCACUGUUGUUAGCAUGUAUGCACUGCUUUAUGUUUGGAGCUAUUUGGUCGUGAUGAAAGUUAUCUAAAAAUGUUCUUGACUAUGACCUGGAAUCCUCCUUCAAUUGCUUCUGUUGGGGUGGUUGUCUGAUAGUUCAUAGGAAUCAACCUUUCUUUUCGAGUAAAUGAAUUACUUUGAUGAUCCAUUUGCUGGUUCAUAGGAAUCAACCUUUCUUUUCGAGUAAAUGAAUUACUUUGAUGAUCUAUUUGCUGGUUUGUUUCCACGAGUUGUCCACUCCAGCGGGGAUCAAUA
rnacentral:lncRNA from 1 species